rnacentral:rRNA from 1 species
UGCCCAGUAACGGCGAGUGAAGCGGCAACAGCUCAAAUUUGAAAUCUGGCCCCCAGGGCCCGAGUUGUAAUUUGCAGAGGAUGCUUUUGGCGCGGUGCCUUCCGAGUUCCCUGGAACGGGACGCCAUAGAGGGUGAGAGCCCCGUCUGGUCGGACACCAAGCCAGUGUAAAGCUCCUUCGACGAGUCGAGUAGUUUGGGAAUGCUGCUCUAAAUGGGAGGUAUAUGUCUUCUAAAGCUAAAUACCGGCCAGAGACCGAUAGCGCACAAGUAGAGUGAUCGAAAGAUGAAAAGCACUUUGAAAAGAGGGUUAAACAGUACGUGAAAUUGUUGAAAGGGAAGCGUUUGUGACCAGACUUGGGCCCGGUGAAUCAUCCAGCGUUCUCGCUGGUGCACUUCGCCGGGCCCAGGCCAGCAUCAGUUCGCCGCGGGGGAUAAAAGCUUCGGGAACGUGGCUCCCUCGGGAGUGUUAUAGCCCGUUGCAUAAUACCCUGCGGCGGACUGAGGUUCGCGCUCCGCAAGGAUGCUGGCGUAAUGGUCAUCAGCGACCCGUCUUGAAACACGGACCAAGGAGUCGUCUUCGUAUGCGAGUGUUCGGGUGUCAAACCCCUACGCGUAAUGAAAGUGAACGCAGGUGAGAGCUUCGGCGCAUCAUCGACCGAUCCUGAUGUUCUCGGAUGGAUUUGAGUAAGAGCAUACGGGGCCGGACCCGAAAGAAGGUGAACUAUGCCUGUAUAGGGUGAAGCCAGAGGAAACUCUGGUGGAGGCUCGCAGCGGUUCUGACGUGCAAAUCGAUCGUCAAAUAUGGGCAUG